AGGUGCUGCAUGGCUGUCGUCAGCUCGUGUCGUGAGAUGUCGGUUAAGUCCGCUAACGAGCGCAACCCUCGCUGUGUGUUACAAGUGUCACACGGAACUGCCGGUCAUAAACCGGAGGAAGGUGGGGAUGACGUCAAGUCAGCAUGGCCUUUAUAUCCUGGGCUACACACACGCUACAAUGGGAAGGGACAAUAGGUUGCGAAGCCGCGAGGCGGAGCCAAUCCAGCAAAACUUCCCUCAGUUCAGAUUGCAGGCUGCAACUCGCCUGCAUGAAGUUGGAGUUGCUAGUAAACGCAGGUCAGCCAUACUGCGUUGAAUACGUUCCCGGGGCUU
rnacentral:rRNA from 1 species